AGAGGUUCAAUUCAUCAAAUCUUCAAUUUGUUGGAGUUCAUCAAAUCUUCAAUUCAGCAAAUUCGUUGCCGAGAGCUUCGAGUUCAAAUCGUAAUCAAUACCUAAGGUGUUAUCUGAUGGAUUCUUCAUCUUAUUACUAGUCGAGUUGACGAAUGGUGAAGGAUCUGUUAUUCCAAUUUGCAACGCUGAGUUGAGGCAUUAUGAAGGUCAAAAAUUUUCUUCACUUGAGGAGGGAAUUUCCUUUUAUGAAAAGUAUGCACAAGAAGCUUGUUUUGAUUGUCGAAGAUUUGGAAAUAGGUCUAGUGGUGGUGUUAUUACUUUUUCAGUAUGUUGUUUGCAACAGACAAGGUUU